AACAAAGCUGCACAUAAUGUGGUUGGUAAGUGUGCGAAUGGUUGGUGGUGUCCUGGAAGUUGAUAUUUUUCCUGACGCUGUUAACAAAGUAAAUGGACAGACUACGUCCAGGAAGAGAGAAAUGAUAUUUAACAUAUGUGUUAGGAAUUUGCUUGUUAUGUAGGGAUUCUAAGUAAUUCCUGAUUUUGAUCCUUACUACAGUUCUGAACAUUUGGCUCUCUGGGAUGUUGUGUGCUUGCAUGUUAUAGAAAGUUCCUGUUGGAUUUUUCUGUGCUGUCCACAGCAACUCUGCAAUCCAGAGAGAUGUCUGUAGGACGAUUUAAUAAUCUAGAAAAGUGUCUAACUUGUAUGCAUUUAAAGACAUGUAAAUUUAUAUUAAGCCGGUUUGGGUGAAAGCAGGGGAAGGGCUUCUAGGGCUAAAGGGGAAAGAGCUCACCCACAAACUUCUGGCUUCAACAACCCUGUAAGUUAGGUGAGGAAAGUCCUAAAGUAAGAGACCAACUGAAGAAAGGGUUUCUGCGUGUGUGUGUUUAUGUUUAAUUGCAUAUUUUUAUUUUUCAUGAUCUAGUUUUAGUAUUUCUUGUUUGCUGUUCGCUCCUACUUUAGAUAAAUAAUUCAAAUGCAUUAUUAUUCUUUUUACAUUAUUUUUACUUUAAAGGAAGAACUCUUUAAUGUAAAGCUUAGUUUAUCUCCUAAGAGAUCACCUUUUAAUGUGGUCAAUGUGUUUAUUAAGAAAUCUAGAGUGUAGACUCGUUGCCAGGCAACUACUGUUUAUCCACGUGGCCAAAUUGAGUAGUAUGAGGACUGUUGCAUUCUUAGGACUUUUAAGUUCCUGUAUACUGUAUCUAUUUCCUGAUUAAAAGUUACCUUUUAAAUAGUGAUUUCAAUGUUUUUUGCGGGUCUGUAGUUAAUACCUAUGUUUGGAAAGUCAUUGUCAGUAGUUAAAUGGGAUUAUGUAUUACUGAUUUCUAAAAAUUCAUCCUUAUUGAGUUAUAAUUUCCAUACCAAUACAAUUCCCCUAUUUUAAGUGUACAUGGGGAUGAAUUUUGCUACAUGCAUGCAGUAGCAUAACAAACACUGCAGUCAUGACGUUGAACAUCUCUGUCACUCCGAAAGCACCCCUAUUCCGCUCUGCAGUCCGUCCUCUUUCCUGAGCCCUGGGACCCCUAAUCUGCUACAGCUGUAAUCUUCCUUAUAAGUACACUCAUCUGGUCCUCUGUGUCUGGUUACUUUCAUGUAGCAUAAUACUUGAACGAUUCAUCCACAUCGCUGUGUACAUCACAAGUUUGUUCCUUUUUAUUGUUGAGGCAUGUUCUGUAGUCUGGACGUACCACAAUCUAUUUAUUUACUGGCUGAUGGAUAUUUGAGCUAUUUCUAGUUUGGGGCUAUUACACAUAAGGCAGCUAUGCACAUUGGAGAUCAUGUCUUGGUGUGGUUUGUUUUCCUUUUCCCUUGGGCAGUGACCUGGGAACGAGAUUGCUGCUCAUACGGUAAGUGUGUGCUUAACUAUCAAACGGUUUCAGCCAACUAUUGUACGAUUGAGUUUAAUUUAUUGUAUGUUAUAUUAUAAAUUUAGAAGACAUUUUCAGAUUUCACUGCUGUCUGAAGGUGCUUUCUCUUUGUUUUUUUAACUUGUCUAUUAUAUUUAUACUGUCUUUCCUACUUUGUUUUUUGGGGACGGCAAAUCACGUAAACCUUUUGGAGUAAUACUUUAUGCACCUCUAAUGUCUGCUCCCAUUAAGUCUGUUUUGAGGAUUAAGUGAGGUGAUGGAUGUGGAUGUGUUUUGAGAGCUUGAACACAAGUGUGAGUUAUUGCCGGCACCACAUGUUGUCAAAGAUUUAGGGUUGUUCUUGAGUUUGUUUAGUUAAUUGCGUCUUACCUGAAACACCAUGAUAAAAGGUCGGUUUAAAGUGCGUGGGGUAUAGAAGCAAGAAAAAAAUGGACCAGGAUUUCUUUGCAUUUUUCCUGCCUUGGUUAAUAGUACACAAAGAUAUAAAAUGAUAAGUAAAAGUCUUUUCUAUCGUCUGCUCUUCCAACUGGUUUCUCUCCUCAGAGAUGACCAUUGUAGACCUUUUGUAUUUUAUACUUUUUUUGGUGAUUAUUAUCCCAGUUUUGUAUAUAAUACGCUAAGCUUUAUUUUUGAGUAGUUUUACAUAAUCUCGUGUAUCGCCCUUAUGAAAAAUGAAGAAUUUGACUUGUUAAUACCUGUUCUCUUCCUUCCCUAAAAAGAGGGAGUGGGCUCAUGGUUAAACUUCCAACAGGUGCACUCUUCAUUCUAGAAAGUACUUACACAUCAUCUCUAAACUGACCACUUUGGGAGUACCCUACACAAUCUUUCCUCUGAAUUUCCCACAUUCCCCUCCCAGUUUGUGGCAACUGAACGUUUAUUUUAUAUUUUCAGGGUUUGUAAUAGUUAUACUUGCUGAUUCGGAGAAGCAGUAAUCGAUAUUGUGAUAAGUAAACAGUACCUGCUGCCAACCAGAGCAGUAUGGUGGGUGCGUGUGAUGGCAGCCAUAGAGAGCAAAUGAUCGCCUCAUACUCUGUUGGUGUUCGAGAUCAUGACGCACUUUGGUUUGGCCUCUGGUUUGGGCUAUAAUGGUUUUUCCUGGAUUUUCUAAUUGUCACGUUUCCUCCCAUUGGUAAAAGAGUGUAUGCUUUGCUGUCUUCCUUGUAUCACUUGGUCAUCCAGCUUUUUAAUCCUGGUAUUUGUCAAAAUUCUACUGUGAACUGACCUUUUUCUAGGUGUGAUACUCAGCUAGUAGCAUGUUAUUUAAUUGCAUUCCUGGACAAGUUCAGUGCUUUCUUAGAUCUCCUGUCUUUCCCCCAUUUGUUUUGGAUUUAUUUUAUGGUUUUCUAGAAGUAGUUUUUUUUUUUUUUCCUUUUUUCAAUUUCCUGAAGAACUUCUUUCAGAAAGAAUAUGUCAACACAGUGUUUGAAAAUGUGUUUUUCACUUUUACACCUGGUGCAUACCUUUGCUGGGUAUAGAAUUCAGGUUGUGAAACAGUUUUCCUUCAGAGUUUUGAAGGCUGCAUUCCGUUACCUUUUGGUAACCAGUUUUACUGGUAAGAGGCUUAACACUAAUAGGAGUAAUUUCUUUCUAGGUAACCUGUUUGUUGUCUUCUUGAAGUUUGUUGUGUUCAUGCCUCUUUAUCCUUGGCUUUAUAAAAUUUAAGGAGGAUAAGAUGUGGUUCUUUUUAAUUCACCUGUAAAGCAUUUGGUGGACCCUUAGAAUAUGCAGGCAAAUGUGUUUAAUUCUGGGGAGUCUUCUGUAUUUCUUUUGUUAUUUUUUCCCUUCUGUGUCUUCUGUAUUCUUUUAUGGUUUUUGCCCUUAGAGCAUCUAUGUCAGUGCUCUGUUUUAAAAUUUUUCUUUAAUUUCUUUGUUUUCUCUCCUUGUUCUGGAAGAUUCCUCAACUUUUUCUUCGAGCCCUUUACUAAAUUAUUUAUUUCAGCUAUUACUUUAUAUUUCUGGGAAUUCUUUGUAGUUCAUAGCCACCCGCUCUUAUUUUACAGAUUUUUAAUCAAAGGACACCAACGAGACUAUUUUUAAAUUUUUUAUCUGCUUUGAAUAACUUUUUCAGUUUGUUUAUUUUGUUUAUUAUUUUUUUUUCCUUGGUGGUGUUAGUAUUCCUCAGGUAUCUGAUGAUCCCUGUUGGUUUAUUUGUGAAUGAAAGACUGAGUUUACUGGUAGUGACCUCUGUCUGUUUUUGUAAUUCAUGUAUUUUCCCUGUACUUAUGACUGGCUAGAUUCUCUGAAUGAGGAUUUGUAAUGGUACUUUUAACUGGACUCUUACAAGCAUUAGUUGAAAUAUUAGGGGAAACCAAAUGGGGCAUUUUUUUCCUCUGCACUAUUCUUAAUUUAUUCCUUUAGAGAUUUUCAGUAUGAUUUUAAGAAUAAUCUUCUGUUUUAGUCAAGCAAAUUUCAUUAGUCUGUUGUUGCUGUUUGGACAUAUUUUGGCUCAAAUAAUUUCUUCUUAAAGAGUAGUAGUAUUCUCUGCCUCUUUACAAUGGGCAGGUAGAUUAUCAUCACCUGAACUCUGGUGUACUUGUUUUAGAAUAUAUAUAUAAUGUCUGCCUUCUUUACCUCACAGUGUGCUGGUAAGCAUUGUGAGCUAAUGUGUACAGAGUAUUUGUAAACUAUUAAUAAAAGUAUUGAUAUAAAAAAUUCACAGUUACCCUUAGUUUGACUAUCAGUCCUUUUUCUCAAACUUGCAUUUAUGAAUCAGUUCAUGUUAGCUCCUAUCUAGAUAUAAUCUCAUUUCAUUUGUACUUUUGAUGUAAAUAAGUUGUUCAUCAUUAAAUAGCAUCCUGGAGAAGGAAAAAACAGACUUAAAAAUAAUUAAUGAUACUGUGUGGGGCAGAUACUUUCCUAACUUCGGUUAUUGGUGAUAUAUCAACAUUGAAACCUUUUUUUCCUGUACUUUUCUGGAGCAAUUACAGAAUGGUAAAUAUUAAUUGAGAUAACACAUUGAUGUAGUAUUGUUGGUGUUAGAAAUGACAGUAAAGGAAACGUCAUGUAGCACACGUGGAGUAAAGUACCGUCUACAUUUUCCUGCUUGAUGGUCCUGGGAGAGCACAUGAGCUUAGGAGAUACCUGCAGACGUGUUAAACACUUCUUAGACUCUCUCCUUCACAAGAGAGAAGUGACCAGAGGCUGGUCACAGACCAGCCUGUCUGUACUGCCAGUCUCUAAACCUGAUGUCAAAAGUUUUACUCUAGGUUUGUCCUGUUACAGUGAGGGCUAAUAGUUGCUGUGAAGAAAGGUAUUGCAUUAAUAAAGUGGGAAAUUUAACCAGCUUAAAAGGUCUAAAUUAUUGAAUUAAGUAGGUUGCAAUAGCAUUAACCAGAGCUAAUUGUAAUUUAUAAAAUUCCGUUUGCGUAAUAGUACUGUUUCCUAAGAAGGUAAGUAGUCUCUUCUAAAGGUGGAGAGCCAGUUCCUUGAUAACAUGUUAAAAUCUGUAAUGUAUUGGUGGUCAGUGCACAGUCUUACAAUUCUGAAAUUGGUACAAAUUUAAGAGGUGGUUUUAUCAUUAAAAACAUUUGACUGAUGGGGGCGCCUGGGUGGCUCAGUCGGUUAGGUGUCCGACUUCGGCUCAGGUCAUGAUCUCGCGGUCCGUGGGUUCAAGCCCCGCGUCGGGCUCUGUGCUGACAGCUCAGAGCCUGGAGGCUGUUUCAGAUUCUGUGUCUCCCUCUUCCUCUGACCCUCCCCUGUUCAUGCUCUCUCUCUGUCUCAGAAAUAAAUAAAUGUUUAAAAAAAAUAAAAAAAAACAAAACAUUUGACUGAUGAAAAUGCUGCAUGCAUGUGAUAGUUUCUUACGCUUUUUGUUGCUUUGAUAUCUAACAGAUUGAACUUUCAGGUUGUGUUCUGUGUACGUAACCAGUUUGUGCUUUCAAAGCACUCCUUUCCUUAGUUUGCCUGCUACUUAGAGUUUCCAGUUCAAGGAUCUUCAUGAACUGUGUCCUUGGAAUAACACUUGUUUUGUAUUCUGUGAACUGAUUUGUUUAGGUGAACCGGAAUGUUAGUAUUUGGUAAUUCCAAGCUAAACUUCAUAAGUCUAUGAAUUUUCUGUCAAAAUAGCUUAAUGCCACUAUGCAGAAUGUUUUAGUAACGCGAAGAUUGUAAGCUGGGCUAUGUGUUAACAUGAGAUUAUUGUGAGCUAGUCAAUUAUAAGCUGUUCUAGAAAACAGAAUCACAGUUUUUGGGGUUCUCAUCCAAGUCCAAGGGCUUUUUCCUUAACUUUGUAUGUACUUGUACAAGUACCUUUUGCUUCUGUUUUAUUCACAAAGUGAGUUUUAAAUAAAUGAUCAAGUGCUUAUAGAAAUAGAAAACAACUGUAUGAUUUUCUGUUUACUACGCAGAAGCAAGCAUUUUCCAUAGAAUGUGGAGAGCUGUGGUAGCCACUGUAU